rnacentral:misc_RNA from 1 species
AAUUAUUUUUAUUAUAUUUUCAGAAUCAACUGGAAACGGAAUAGCAAUAACAACAACCAGCCGUACUAGCGCUGCUACUACAGGUCGUCCUGGUGGCGAGUAAAGCUGUGGAUCAAACGCAAUUACAGCAACAAUCACAGCGGCAAAUUCCGUACGUAUGACAAUUUGUCUUAAUAAAAUAAAAUUAUGAUUGGUAAUAAUAGCGUAUACCAUAAUUUUUUUCCAUUUCUGAGGAUGUAAUUUACAAAUUGCUGAUACCGUUAAUCGUUUCGAAAGUUAUUUUUACUCUUUUUGUGUUUUUAUAUUUUCAUAUCUUGUAUUUUACACAAUAUCGUUAUUUUAUUUUAAUCAACAGUACCUGUGUGGAAAUUAUUUAUAAAUUUAAAUAACACAUUAUGUAAAUCUCGAAAGACUUUUAAAUAUUAUGAAAGAAGAUUAAGAUGACUAUAUAAAAAACUAAUAAAAUAUGAGCGUACGAUUUAUUAUUUUUCGAUCAAUAAUGACGAUUGUCAACGUCAUUAUUAUCGCAGAUACGGUACAGAAGCGCAAAAACGGGGAUGGGUAGGCGACGGAGGAGGUGAUGGCGGUGG